GAGAGGGGGGUUUCACCAUGUUGGCUAGGCUGGUCUUGAACUCCUGACCUCAGGUGAUCCGCCCGCUGUGGCCUCCCAAAAUGCUGGGAUUACAGGCAUGAGCCACCACACCUGGCCUUACCAGUUGAUUAUUUAAGUGAACCUUCAGCGGCAAAGUUGUUUUAAAACGUACUGAUAAUUGAGCCUUGUCUGCAGAGGUUGAGGUCAUUGAUUUAAGGUGGGCCCAGCCAGUGGUUCAAUUUUGCCUGUCUUCCAGUGAUUGGAAUGUACAGCCAAGAGAGUGUAAUUAUGGUGCUGGCAGAAGUAUUAACCUAUCUGGAUGUCACUGUCUUCACUUUCUGACUAGGCUGCUUCUUUCCACCUCAGUAUUUAUGAGAGAUCUAUAAUUUUAUAACAAACUUUUAAAGGAGACUUGGUUUCCUUAAACACAACUGAUAACAGCAGUUUUCUGGUUUUCUUCCAUUUUUGUUUUUAGAGCCACUGUCUCACUGUGUUGCCCAGGCUGGCUUUGAACUACUGAACUCAAGGGAUCUUCCCACCUCAGCUACCUGAGUAGCUGGGACUAUAAGUGGCACACCACUGUGCCUGGUCAGUUUUCUGGUUUUGAUAACCUUUGGUUGUGUGAGAUAUUAUCAUUGGGGAAAGUUGGAGGAAUAUAUAGGAGAAGUCUAUUUUUGCAACUUCCAUGUCUUAUUUUCAAAUAACCCUAAUUGAUUAUUUACUUCAUUGAAACAUUGGACUUCAAUGAAAUCAUUACCUAUAUUUGUAAUGACUUGAGAGUAAUAUAAUUUAACUUAUUUUUUUGACCUCUGAACUUUUUAUUGGCCUCCUGCCCCAAAGGGUACCCUGCUUCUGCUGGUUUAAUGUCUCAGAACUUUGGUGUCUUUGGUCUCAGAUACCACUUUGCCAUCCACUAUCCAGUGGAUGGUGGUCUUUUGGAUGGUUUGCAUGGAGUUGCUGUUGUCCAGGGCAUCACCAAGAUUGAAGUCCUUGCCGUCUUCCAGCAGGUGGCGGUAGGUGGCAAUCUCAGCCUCCAGCUUGACCCUGAUGUUCAGCAGGGCCUGGUAUUCCUGGGUCUGGCACUGUCCCUUUGCCCGGGCCUGUGCCAGCUCUGACUCCAGGUGCAGCAAGAUCCUGUUAAGCUGCUCCAUCUGCAGGGCAUAAUAGGCCUCCACCUCCCUUAGGCUGUUCUCCAAGCUGGCCUUCGGAUUUCUCAUGGAGUCCAGGUUGAUCUCCAAGGACUGGACUGUAUGUCCCUGUUAUCAUCAUAGCAGCUCCAACCUGGGUGGACAGUGUGAUGACCCCUGUGGUGCUCUCCUCAAUCUGCUAAGACCAGUACUUGUCCAGCUCCUAUUGGUUCUUCAGAGCCAGCUUGCCAUAUUGGGCCCAGAUGUCUGCCAUGAUCUUGGUGGGAUCCUGAGAUUUGGGGACAUCUACCUCCACAUUCAACCCAGAGCUAGCAGUCUGGGCUUGUAGGACUUUUACUUCCUCUUCGUGGUUCUUCCUCAUGAAGCACAGCUCCUCCUUGAGAGCCUCAAUCUGUCUCCAGCUGCAGCCGAGUGACAUUGGUGUCAUGGAUUUCGUUUCCAUGGAUGUUGUUCUUCACAGACUGGCGUGUGGCCAACUCUGUCUCAUACUUGACUCUAAAGUCAUCAGCAGCAAGACAGGCAUUGUCAAUCUGCAGAAUGCAUUGUCCACAGUAUUUGCAAAGAUCUGAGCCCUCAGGUCCUCGAUGGUCUUGAAGUAAUGGCUCCAGUCUCUGACCUGGGGUCCCUUCUCCAGGUGCUCCUGGAUUUUGCUUUCCAGCCUCUGGUUCUUGGUCUCCAGACUCCUCACUCUGUCCAGAGACAACGUCUCACUAUGUUGCCCAGGCUGUCCUCGAACUCCCGGCUUCAGCAAUCCUCCCGCCUCACCCUCCGAUGUAGCUAGGACUACAGGACCCCGACCCGGCGCCGCCUAAGAACUGUUUUUAAACGUGAAAGCCACGAUUAUCAUUUGCUUUUUGCUCUUCCUUUCAUCUUCUCGAGCUCAGUGGUAGUCGGCUGCCUACACCCCGUCAGACAAGUGGCCUGAGUCCCCCGCAACCCCUGCAGGUCGGGACCGCCCCCGCCAAGCCUCAAGGUGUUCAAGCCAGGAACGAUCGAGGUCAGCUCUGCCACGGAACAUGUUUAAGACCCGGCAGCAGGUUCCGGGGGAGGUGAAUUGACUUCACAACGGUCGAGAAGGGGGAGCCCGCCCACUUCGUCAUUUCUCGGAAUCCCAGGGGACUCGCCGGAAGAGCGGCUCACAAGCCGGAAAACCGGCAAAUCCGAGGUCUCUCGGCUCAUGCGCCGCGCACACCUCUUCGCGUGAUUGCUGUAGAGAGGAUCCCUCCGCCAGCCACUGCAUCCGGCGGCCGGAUCUAACUUGCCUGCCAGGGUUCUACCCAUGAGCGGCCGUGACGUAGGCGGUUCUUUCCCUUGGCCCCUCCCUCCGCGGCACCGCCUCUUGUGACGUAAGCCUCAGAAUCCGCUGGCUUAGUCCGUCUCUGUUAUCCCUCGCCUGAUCAUCCCUGGGUCUGAGCAAAAGUAAAAGUAAUUUUGUCAUUUCCUGAAACUUCAAGUUAAAUUUUUGAGCUGUUCAUUUCCUAAAAGGGCGAAAACGCGGACACUCCUCGAGCUAGUUCAUCGCCUUUUAACCUGGGAAUUCUGUUAAAAGGAAGUAACUGCGAAAAUGUGUUCGCUGUUAGGUUUCUUUGGAAGCUUUGGGUUGUGUUCAUGCGUUCUCUCGGCGUGUGAACUGGGAGAAAGUGGAGCGCCAGCCAAAUAAAAUGACAACUUUGUAUAUGGGGGCUGGGAGGUAUGAUGCCCGUUCUAGCUUGAUGAAAUUAAUGUAAUUUUAA